rnacentral:rRNA from 1 species
GCGAUACAGGGUGACAGCCCCGUACACAAAAAUGCACAUGCUGUGAGCUCGAUGAGUAGGGCGGGACACGUGGUAUCCUGUCUGAAUAUGGGGGGACCAUCCUCCAAGGCUAAAUACUCCUGACUGACCGAUAGUGAACCAGUACCGUGAGGGAAAGGCGAAAAGAACCCCGGCGAGGGGAGUGAAAAAGAACCUGAAACCGUGUACGUACAAGCAGUGGGAGCACGCUUAGGCGUGUGACUGCGUACCUUUUGUAUAAUGGGUCAGCGACUUAUAUUCUGUAGCAAGGUUAACCGAAUAGGGGAGCCGAAGGGAAACCGAGUCUUAACUGGGCGUUAAGUUGCAGGGUAUAGACCCGAAACCCGGUGAUCUAGCCAUGGGCAGGUUGAAGGUUGGGUAACACUAACUGGAGGACCGAACCGACUAAUGUUGAAAAAUUAGCGGAUGACUUGUGGCUGGGGGUGAAAGGCCAAUCAAACCGGGAGAUAGCUGGUUCUCCCCGAAAGCUAUUUAGGUAGCGCCUCGUGAAUUCAUCUCCGGGGGUAGAGCACUGUUUCGGCAAGGGGGUCAUCCCGACUUACCAACCCGAUGCAAACUGCGAAUACCGGAGAAUGUUAUCACGGGAGACACACGGCGGGUGCUAACGUCCGUCGUGAAGAGGGAAACAACCCAGACCGCCAGCUAAGGUCCCAAAGUCAUGGUUAAGUGGGAAACGAUGUGGGAAGGCCCAGACAGCCAGGAUGUUGGCUUAGAAGCAGCCAUCAUUUAAAGAAAGCGUAAUAGCUCACUGGUCGAGUCGGCCUGCGCGGAAGAUGUAACGGGGCUAAACCAUGCACCGAAGCUGCGGCAGCGACGCUUAUGCGUUGUUGGGUAGGGGAGCGUUCUGUAAGCCUGUGAAGGUGUGCUGUGAGGCAUGCUGGAGGUAUCAGAAGUGCGAAUGCUGACAUAAGUAACGAUAAAGCGGGUGAAAAGCCCGCUCGCCGGAAGACCAAGGGUUCCUGUCCAACGUUAAUCGGGGCAGGGUGAGUCGACCCCUAAGGCGAGGCCGAAAGGCGUAGUCGAUGGGAAACAGGUUAAUAUUCCUGUACUUGGUGUUACUGCGAAGGGGGGACGGAGAAGGCUAUGUUGGCCGGGCGACGGUUGUCCCGGUUUAAGCGUGUAGGCUGGUUUUCCAGGCAAAUCCGGAAAAUCAAGGCUGAGGCGUGAUGACGAGGCACUACGGUGCUGAAGCAACAAAUGCCCUGCUUCCAGGAAAAGCCUCUAAGCAUCAGGUAACAUCAAAUCGUACCCCAAACCGACACAGGUGGUCAGGUAGAGAAUACCAAGGCGCUUGAGAGAACUCGGGUGAAGGAACUAGGCAAAAUGGUGCCGUAACUUCGGGAGAAGGCACGCUGAUAUGUAGGUGAAGUCCCUCGCGGAUGGAGCUGAAAUCAGUCGAAGAUACCAGCUGGCUGCAACUGUUUAUUAAAAACACAGCACUGUGCAAACACGAAAGUGGACGUAUACGGUGUGACGCCUGCCCGGUGCCGGAAGGUUAAUUGAUGGGGUUAGCGCAAGCGAAGCUCUUGAUCGAAGCCCCGGUAAACGGCGGCCGUAACUAUAACGGUCCUAAGGUAGCGAAAUUCCUUGUCGGGUAAGUUCCGACCUGCACGAAUGGCGUAAUGAUGGCCAGGCUGUCUCCACCCGAGACUCAGUGAAAUUGAACUCGCUGUGAAGAUGCAGUGUACCCGCGGCAAGACGGAAAGACCCCGUGAACCUUUACUAUAGCUUGACACUGAACAUUGAGCCUUGAUGUGUAGGAUAGGUGGGAGGCUUUGAAGUGUGGACGCCAGUCUGCAUGGAGCCGACCUUGAAAUACCACCCUUUAAUGUUUGAUGUUCUAACGUUGACCCGUAAUCCGGGUUGCGGACAGUGUCUGGUGGGUAGUUUGACUGGGGCGGUCUCCUCCUAAAGAGUAACGGAGGAGCACGAAGGUUGGCUAAUCCUGGUCGGACAUCAGGAGGUUAGUGCAAUGGCAUAAGCCAGCUUGACUGCGAGCGUGACGGCGCGAGCAGGUGCGAAAGCAGGUCAUAGUGAUCCGGUGGUUCUGAAUGGAAGGGCCAUCGCUCAACGGAUAAAAGGUACUCCGGGGAUAACAGGCUGAUACCGCCCAAGAGUUCAUAUCGACGGCGGUGUUUGGCACCUCGAUGUCGGCUCAUCACAUCCUGGGGCUGAAGUAGGUCCCAAGGGUAUGGCUGUUCGCCAUUUAAAGUGGUACGCGAGCUGGGUUUAGAACGUCGUGAGACAGUUCGGUCCCUAUCUGCCGUGGGCGCUGGAGAACUGAGGGGGGCUGCUCCUAGUACGAGAGGACCGGAGUGGACGCAUCACUGGUGUUCGGGUUGUCAUGCCAAUGGCACUGCCCGGUAGCUAAAUGCGGAAGAGAUAAGUGCUGAAAGCAUCUAAGCACGAAACUUGCCCCGAGAUGAGUUCUCCCUGACUCCUUGAGAGUCCUGAAGGAACGUUGAAGACGACGACGUUGAUAGGCCGGGUGUGUAAGCGCAGCGAUGCGUUGAGCUAACCGGUACUAAUGAACCGUGAGGCUUAACCU